UGCUUCUUCUUGGGGUGAGGGAUUUUCUAGAGAGCCAUGAAUGAGUUGAUCUAUGGCAGCCAUUACACUACCAGUAAAUUAUCAGUACAGUUCAAGUUUCUCAUAUACUGUCCUUGCACAUAGUGCCCCUCUUUUUCGUGCUUGACUCUUGGUAACUAGCUACUGUGACAUUGAGCUUCAGUUGUGUAGCUGCUGUGACAUCACACAUUUCUUUCUGCCAGUUAAACUACUGUGACAUCACAAACGUGGCCCCAGCAGAUAAGCUGCUAUGACAUCACAAACGUGGCUCCAGCAGAUAAGCUGCUAUGACAUCACAGGACACAUUUAUCUGAGCCCAAGACUUUGACAAUUAAGGGGGCUAACAAUAGCCAGUAUAUACAACAGAUGGACAGCCUCUAUUCAUAUAUGACACUAUAAAGAAUACAAAAUGAAUCACUGAUUUAUUGCUUCCAUUGAUGCAUGGGUGAGAGAGAUUGCCCUCUCCAGGUCAAUGGGUUGGCUUUCCAUCAAUAAAGACUGAAUAGAUGAAGAUUCCUAAGGAUUGGCCUGGAAUAAUUGGCUCCACAAUACCAAGAAGACAAAAGAAGAUCUAGAUCCAGAGAUUUUCUAUUAAGUAAAAAAAAAAACUAUGAAAUAUUUUAACAUAAAUACUUAUACCAUGUUCACAAUUCAAAAUAUGUUAGUUGUAUUGUUAUGUCUUAGACAGUACUGAUUUAUACUGUGAUGGGUUGGGGAUGAUGCUGCUUACCAUUGUAGACUACGGCCCAUGACUUCAGUGUCAGACUAGGGUUCCUGAGGCCCACCAGAAGAAACUAGUCCUAAAAGCCAACCCCUGGAUCACGGGUCAUCAAUACAAUUUUAAAGGUUUUGAAUCCAAGAAAAAGACCUUAAUAACAAGAGAUUGUCUCCAAAGGCAACCAAAUGUUUUUUUUUCUCCUGAACCUUUGAUGCCCAUUAUGGUGAUGUAUCGUGGACCAACGGAGGAUGUUCUGGUACUCUGAUGGGCCAAUCCAACCCUGAGUGCAUUAUGUUGAUGACCGCAACAGUGCAGCCUAAAAUAGUAUAAA